rnacentral:rRNA from 1 species
AUGAUUAGAGAAGUCUCUGUUAUUUCUUGGAACGUUCAUGGACUUGGUAGGCACAAGAAGUGCACCGAUGUAAAAGCAACCCUCUCCUCUGUGCCUUGCUCCGUGAUUUUCCUACAGGAGUCAAAACUCCAGGACAUUUCCAACUUCAAAGCUAUUUCUUUUCUUCCCCCGAAUCUUCACAACUUUCAUUUAAUCCCAGCUAUCAGUUUGGCUGGGGGGAUUGUUACCGCAUGGGACGACAAUUUCCUCUCCUGUUCCAAAGUGCUCGCGGACACUUUCGCCCUUACUUGUUGGUUUGAAUCGCGCGCGGACGACCUUUCAUUCGCUAUUACUAACGUCUACGGGCCCUGUGACCACACAUCUAAACCUCCCUUCUUGCAAUCCCUCGUGGAGCUCAAGCCUCAGAUCUCCUGCCCUUGGACUAUCAUUGGGGAUUUCAACAUCACCCUUAGGCCGUCGGACAUAUCCACAACGCAUUUCAAUAUGCUGGAGGCAAACCUGUUUGCCUCAACUAUUAACACUCUCCGGCUUCAGGAUCUACCUCUCCUCGACAGAUGCUUUACUUGGUCAAACCAACAGGAGGUGCCCAUUCUUGUCUGGCUUGAUCGGGCUCUGGCAAGCGUGGACUGGGCCUCAAAAUUUCUGGAUACCUCUCUUUCUUCUCUGGCUAGGACAACCUCCGAUCACGUCCCCAUCCGGCUAAUGACAGCCACUUCCAUCCCUAGAUCUUCGGUUUUCCGCCUUGACCGCUCUCUCCUCAACGUCCCUUUAUUCAAGGAACGGGUGGCCGCAAAUUGGGGGAGCGUCGGCCCUUAG